GACGAACGCUGGCGGCGUGCUUAACACAUGCAAGUCGAGCGACUGCAUUCUUUUCGGAGGGUGUAUGGAGCGGCGAACGGGUGAGUAACACGUGAGUAAUCUGCCUUUGGCUUGGGAAUAACUUCGGGAAAUCGGGGCUAAUGCCUGAUGUUUACUGUCUGCUGCAUGGUGGGUGGUGGAAAGAUUUUUUGGCCGAGGAGUGAGCUCGCGGUCUAUCAGCUUG
rnacentral:rRNA from 1 species